GAACAAUAGAUCUGGGCAGUAAACGUGAACAUUCUGCUACAACGUAGCUCAUAUUUUACAUUAUCACCUGUUCUAUGCUUGUUUUUCUUUCUUUCCCUGACACAGAUGAAGCAAAAGACAAAGGUAAUCUUCAAAACACUCACUUUGUGUGUAUGGUGCCGCUGUAAAAUUUCACAUAAGCUUUGGUCAAAAUGUCAUGAUCUCCUCAAUCAUCAAACAUCCAUCUCUAACCCUCCAAGUGUCCCAGGGACAGUCCUGGAUUUAUAGAAGUUGCCCCAGUUUCUGAUUUGAUCCCAGAAUGUCCCAUUUUCCCUUUGGUUGUCCUUAUUUCCAUCGGAUAAAUGUUGUAGGCUGUGGAGUUAUCUGACCCCUGAGCUGUCUGAAGGCAGCCCUAUAUGGGGAAGUUUUUAAAAUGUUUCAUGCUUUAUUAUGCUUUGAUAUAUGUUGGAAGCCGCCCAGAGUGCCUGGGGCAACCCAGUUAGACGGGUGGAGUAUAAAUAGUAAAACUAUGGUUGUUAUGGAAUAGAACAUCUUUAUUUUCAUCAAUGUUGGAGGGUAUGAUAGCCUUUUGGGUUUUGUUGCAUGUGAAGCCCAGCUUGUACCAAGUCAGUGUACCUAUUUAAAAUAGGGACAUAGGAAGUUGCCUUAUACCAAAUCAGACCUUUGGUCCAUCUUGCUCCAAAGCAAGGGCCUUCUUGGUAGUGGCGCCCAUCCUGUGGAACACCCUCCCAUCAGAUGUCAAGGAAAUAAGCAGCUAUCUUAUUUUUAAAAGACACCUGAAGGCAGCCCUGUUUAGGGAAGUUUUUAAUAUUUAAUGCUGUAUUGUUUUCAACACUCGAUUGGGAGCCACGCAGAGUGGCUGGGGAAACUCAGCCAGAUGGAAGGGGUAUAAAUAAAUUAUUAUUAUUAUUAUUAUUAUUAUUAUUAUUAUUAUUAUUUUCUACACUGACUUGGAGUGGCUCCCCAGGGUUUGGAGAUGCCAGGGAUCAAACCUAGGAUCUUUUGCAUGAAAAGCAGGUGCUUUACCAGUGACCUUUCCCCAAAUUUGCAAUGGACCAAGGUUUAGCAAAUGAUGGUAACAUUGUAUGUCCUGGUUAGGGAUGGGGCAGAAAUCUUAUUCCGUUUGCAUUUAAAGGCAAACCUAAUUUGCACUUUUCGAAACAAUGCGCAAACUGAGUCAUCCUUUUAAAUUCGCUCUCCUCCGAAUUUUGCAAUGCAGUUCUUCAGUGACAAAAAAUGCAUAUAAACAGGGAAAGGGAUGCCUAAAACCUUUUAGAAUUAAUAAAAAACAAUAUACACCAGUGCAUUGCAUUUGCAGAAAAUGCUAUUCAAAAUGGCACGGAGAAAUCUUUAUAUUGAGAGAAAUUUGCACUAGCGCUCUGGUGAAUUUUCAAUGAGGAUUUUUAUUUUAUUGGUUUAUUUCAUAAAAUGUUGACAUCAUUCGACUGCAAGGAACCUCAAAGCAGUUUGCAAAAAUAAAACAAUAAAAUGAUUGGUAAACCAGUUAAAAACAACUAUUUUUUAAAAAAUAAAAUCAAUGAUAAACUAAAAACAGGUUAAAACGCACAUCAACAUUCCACAUAUCUAGGUAGGUUUCUCUAAAAAAAUGCUAUUCGGGAAACCACAAAGGCUAUAGUGGUGGGAUAACGCUUGAAAUGCAUGAUGCAGGUGGGGUCUUAAGAUGAACAGUAAUAAUGCAAAGUCAAAGUAAUCUAUAUUUGAUUCAGAUGUUUGUUUUGCUUUGCGUUUGCUGUUAGCACAUAUGUAUCAUUUCCUUCUCUGUGGGGAGGUAAAGCUAUUGGAGAAAAACAACCCCACUUCCAUUUUGUGCAUCACCUCAACUUUUUGCAACACCCGAUAAAUCAUCUGAAGAGCACACAUUACGACUGUCAAUGCACCGUUGUCCAAGCACAAGGCUAUUUUAAGACAUUCCAGGGUUACACAAUGCUAUUUUAUGCUUCAUUUGUCUGUUUUCUACUGGAGGACAUAAAUAAAUGAAGCAUAAGUUGCUUCCUCAUGGAACACUGGAAAUAAACAAAACGGUGGCUGCAGUAAUGGGACAGGACUUGGAGGAUGCAAAACAGGACUCUCCGUCCAGCAACAACCCUGUUUUGCAGAUAUUUAAGGACCUAAGAAGAGCCCUGCUGGCUCAGUCUAGGGGAACAUCGAGUUCAGCAUCUUGUUCCCACAGUGGCUGACCAGGUGCCCACGGGAAGACGGCAACCUGGGCAUGAGCACAACAGCACUCUGUCCCACUGCAAGUCCCAGCAACUGGUAUUCAGAAGGAUGAUGCCUCUGACAGUGGAGGUAGAACAUGGCCAAUAUGGCUAGUAGCCAUUGUCUUCCAUGAAUUUGUCUAAUCCUCUUUUUAGCCAACCAAGGCCAUCACUACCUCCUGUGGGAUUGAGUUCCACAGUAAGAGGAAGUAAGUGAUAUAAAGGGUGAGACAAUGUUUUAAGUAUCCUGGUUCCAAACUAUAUACAACUGUAUACCUGAAGGAGAACCUUCUUCCAUACCGUUCAGCCCAGACAGUGAAAUCCAGCUCCAAGGGCCUUCUGGAGGUCCCCUCACUGUGAGAAGUGAGAUUGCAGGUAACCAGGCAGAGGGCCUUCUCAGUAGUGAUGCUUGCCCUCUCAUCCAAUGUCAAGGAAAUAAACAACUAUCUGAUUUUUAGAAGACAGCCCUGUAUAGGGAAGUUUGGAAUGUUUGAUGUCUUACUUACUGUGUUUUAAUUUGUUGAAAGCCGCCCAGUGUGGCUGGAGUAACCCAGUCAGAUGGGUGGCAUAUAAACAACAAGUUGUUGUUGCUAUAUGAUGAUGAUGAUGAUGUUUACCCCACUUUUUCCACUUGACAUAGACUCAAGGCAGCUUACAGAUAAAAUAGGUAAAGGUAAAGGGACCCCUGACCAUUAGGUCCAGUUGUGGCUGACUCUGGGGUUGUGGUGCUUAUCACAUUUUAUUGGCUGAGGGAGCCGGUGUACAGCUUCCAGGUCAUGUGGCCAGCAUGACUAAGCCACUUCCUGCCAGAGUGGUACUUAUUUAUCUACUUGCACUUUGACGUGCUUUCGAACUGCUAGGUUGGCAGGAGCAGGGACCGAGCAACAGGAGCUCACCCCGCUGCGGGAAUUUGAACCGUCAAGUUUGUGAUCGGCAAAUCCUAGGUUCUGUGGUUUAACCCACAGCGCCACUCACGUCCCUUUUACAGAUAAAAUAAGAACAGCUAAAAACCUGGGGGUGGGGGGAACAAUAAUUCACACACACACACACACACACACACACACACACACACACACAAUUAAAAUACAUAUAAUUACAAUAAAAGCAGCACUGCAUCAGCCCUUUUGUUAAAAGCAAUCAAUUCCCCAAAGCUUGUUGGAACAAGAAGGUAUUCACCCGCUUGUGUGUUUAUUGAGGUUGCUUUACCUGACCAUAGGUUUGUUUGUUGUUUUGUAGGUAUUCACCCGCUGGCAGAAAGACAACAAGGAGGGAGCCAGUCUAACUUCUCGAGGGAAUUUCAGAGCCACCAGAAAGGCCCUCUUCCGUGUCCCCAACAAGUGUGCCUGUGAGAGACCAAGAGAAGGGCUUCCCCCAAAAAUCUCGGAACCUGGCCGGUCCAUAUGAGGUGUUGUGGCCUUUCAGUCCCAGCACCUUGAACUUAGCUCAGCGGCCCGUUGGCAGCUAAUGCAAUUACCAAAGGCAGUGCUAAUCACUCCCACAAUCCAUUAG